rnacentral:piRNA from 1 species
UAGAAGGGAGUACCAGAAAGA